ensembl:lncRNA HCCAT5 hepatocellular carcinoma associated transcript 5
ACACAUGCUCUUGCUCUCUCGCGCUCUGGGAGAGCGCUUAUAUGGGCUUCAUGAGGCUAAGUAAUAAACACUUUGUCUUCACCCUGCUAUUUAUGGGUUGCUUGGGGCAUCCUGUGCUCUCCACUGCCCUUACCUGAACAGACGGCUCAUGCAGACCCGGAGUUUAAUAGGGACAACAGUAAAUCUGAGAGGCUGUGUGUGUCCCACGCGCUCCUGUUUUCCCAGCCACCCAUGCUAGUUGCAGAGAAAAGCCAACCUGUAUCCCUUCGUUUAUGCUCUGUGUGCCCUUCCUGGAGAGAUCCCUUCAUUCUUCAGCAAUGGAUCAAAGAACUCUGAAAACAAGAACAACCCCGACAGCUGCAAACCACGAGCCCUCACCUCCAGCAGAGGUUUUCGGGAAACUCUGGACGACCACGCGCAUGCAGAGCUUGGCAGAGCCAGCGUGGGCACACGUGGCAAAGCCAUUUAUGCCUGGGAAUUCCUCUCUGACUGUCAACGCCGCCGCUUCAAAGGACUUCUUGCAGUCAUCCUCUGGCAUUGCCACGGCUGGUGCUGGUUGUGAAUUCUGCACCAGCAACCUCCACCCCCUACAUUGGACUUGAUAAAACAAGCUGCUUCUCAGGUAUGCUAAAGAACAAAUUAAGAAACAGAAUCACCUGGGAUGAGUGAAAUUCCCUUUCAAUCAUGUCAGCCGGAGCAGAGGUUGUCAUGAAAUUUGAUGUUAGGGAUUUAUUUCCUAAUAUACAGUCUAAAAGGGAAAACAGUGUAAGAGCUGAAAUGUGAAUUGGACAUGUCUAUAGAGUGUGAAUUGGAUUCAAGACAAAAUAUUGUGAAUGGUUAAUAGGGUCAGUCUAAGUACACUUCCUGAAAUAAUCUCUUGGAUAUGCAAAUAUUCUGAGAGCUACACUGUCAAAUAGCUAUUGUAUCCUCUUAUCUAUGUGUUCACAGAACGGCUACAUGUUAUAACAAAUGAAAAAUGUGAAUUUAAAAAAUAAUGCCACCCUAAAAUAAUACUUUACUUUGAAUAGC